rfam:Schistosoma haematobium scaffold553_6, whole genome shotgun sequence.
AUGCAACUGACGAGUCCCAAAUAGGACGAAACGCGCGUCCUGGAU